UCGGGAUGUAGCGCAGCUUGGUAGCGCACUUCGUUCGGGACGAAGGGGCCGCAGGUUCGAAUCCUGUCAUCCCGAU
rnacentral:tRNA from 29 species